rnacentral:lncRNA from 1 species
UUUUUUUUUUUUUUUUUUUUUUUUUUUGGUUCUUUUUUUCGGAGCUGGGGACCGAACCCAGGGCCUUGCGCUUCCUAGGCAAGUGCUCUACCACUGAGCUAAAUCCCCAACCCAAGUCAGCCUUUUAUAUAAAGUGUUUUAUGUCAUCCUAACUUUAAAAGGUUUCAAUUCACAAGUAAGUACUUUAUACAUAAGAUAUAAGACAUUUACUUAUUACAAAUUUUAUCUUUAAAUGUCUUUAAUUAUAACUUGAGAAUGACCCCAAAAUUACUAGCUAAUAGUUGCAUAAGUAAUUAGGUCCCAAAAUUUGGAAAGUAAACUUUAAUUGUAUAGUUAUUGGUGUACAAUGAGGAAGUAUUAGUUACUUAUUUCUUCUUUUUAAUAACUGAGAUGCAAAAUGAAAGAAUUCAACAGAACAGAACAUCUGUAAGAUGCAGGGAAGGAAACUUUACUUGGGUUGCUUUGAAUUGUGCACAAAUGUGCUUCAGUGGUCUGUGUCAAAGCUAGGCAUCCUACUUGACUUCUUUGGUGCUGGAGUUUAGAUUGAACCUAGGGUCCUAAGUAUGGCAGCUACAUCCUCCACGAUCUUUAUUUCCAACCUUCAUUAUUUCAUUAUUAUUUGUGUGUGUGUGUGUGUGUGUGUGUGUGUGCGCGCGCGCGCAAGUGUCAUAUCUCUAGGGGCAGGCACACAUGUGCCACAAUAUGCUGUGGGAAUAUUAAAGGACAACUUGGUGUAGGUAGUUCUGUCCUGCCACCUUUAUCUUGGUCCCUAGGAUUGAAUUCAGGUUGCCAGGCUUGUGUUGCAACUGCUUAGCACCAAAAGUCACUCAGGUGCUUUGGAGUGCUGAGUUUAAAAAGUAUAACACACACUCACGGUUGCUGUUUUGUAAGAAAUUGAUUUUCUACAGUCAAAAGUACACCAAGAUUUGGUUGGUUUUUAAAGUCUAGUGUAGGCCUAAUCUUUGAUGGAAUCCUUCCUCAUGAGUGCCUUGUGAACUUAAAGGGGAUAAUAUAAUACCAAGGCAAUUUAAAUUCUAUUUCUGUAUGAAUAAAGUUUCGUCAAAACAACCUUGCCCAUUGGUUAUAUGUUGUCUAUAGCUAAUUAUGCAUUAUAGUGGAAUUGCAACUGGAGGCCUGAAUAGCUGUGACAGGCUAUCUGAUCCAUAAAGCCUAACAUUUUAUAGUCUGGCCCUGGGGUGGGGGGAGUCAACCCAUAAUUGAAUAUCUGUAUAUUUGUAAACAUAAUUCAAAUUCACUAUUUUGUUAUACUUAUUAAGAGGAAAUGUAUAUCAGUAUUUCUAAACUAUCAACAGUGAGGGAAUAAAGUAUAGUAGUUCUUAAA